AAGAGCAUAGUUUAGUGGUAAAAUUUAAAGCUUCAAACUUCACCUUCUCAGUUCAAAUCUGAGUGCUCUUG
rnacentral:tRNA from 1 species